GACGAACGCUGGCGGCGUGCUUAACACAUGCAAGUCGAACGGAAAGGCCCUGCUUUUGUGGGGUGCUCGAGUGGCGAACGGGUGAGUAACACGUGAGUAACCUGCCCUUGACUUUGGGAUAACUUCAGGAAACUGGGGCUAAUACCGGAUAGGAGCUCCUGCUGCAUGGUGGGGGUUGGAAAGUUUCGGCGGUUGGGGAUGGACUCGCGGCUUAUCAGCUUGUUGGUGGGGUAGUGGCUUACCAAGGCUUUGACGGGUAGCCGGCCUGAGAGGGUGACCGGCCACAUUGGGACUGCGGUACGGCCCAGACUCCUACGGGAGGCAGCAGUGGGGAAUAUUGCACAAUGGGCGGAAGCCUGAUGCAGCAACGCCGCGUGCGGGGUGACGGCCUUCGGGUUGUAAACCGCUUUCGCCUGUGACGAAGCGUGAGUGACGGUAAUGGGUAAAGAAGCACCGGCUAACUACGUG
rnacentral:rRNA from 1 species